CUGGCUCAGGAUGAACGCUAGCUACAGGCUUAACACAUGCAAGUCGUGGGGCAGCAUAUAGAUAGCUUGCUAUUAUGAUGGCGACCGGCGCACGGGUGAGUAACGCGUAUCCAACCUUCCCCAUAGUAGGGUAUAGCCCGGCGAAAGUCGGAUUAAUCCCCUAUGUUGUUUGAAGCGGACAUCUAAUUCAAACCAAAGAUUCAUCGCUAUGGGAUGGGGAUGCGUCUGAUUAGGUUGCAGGCGGGGUAACGGCCCACCUGGCCGACGAUCAGUAGGGGUUCUGAGAGGAAGGUCCCCCACACUGGUACUGAGACACGGACCAGACUCCUACGGGAGGCAGCAGUGAGGAAUAUUGGUCAAUGGGCGCGAGCCUGAACCAGCCAAGUAGCGUGCAGGAAUGACGGCCCUACGGGUUGUAAACUGCUUUUAUGCGGGGAUAAAGUGCGGCACGUGUGCCGUUUUGCAGGUACCGCAUGAAUAAGGACCGGCUAAUUCCGUGCCAGCAGCAGC
rnacentral:rRNA from 1 species